AAUCAUUAAAAAAACAAUAAAAGGACAAAAUAAGAUAAAAACCAAACUAAACAAAAGAAAAAGUCUAGACAAUCUGCUGGUACAUUGAGAGGAAAUUAAUGUGAACAUCAAUCCAAAGGGCACAAUCAAGCAUGAGACAGAGUCAUAUGGGAAAUAAUGAUAAUAAUGAUGACCAAAAAAAAAAAAAAAACUAUCCAAAUGGUCAGGAUGUCCUCUUUUACUCAUUACUGCUUAAAGGACCCCAUACACCAAGGAACUUGUGAUGAUUGCCUGGAAGAGACUAUUGAAUGUCUUCAGGAUAAAUACAGGAGAUUGUAUCAAUAAGGCAUUUUGAAACAAGGAGGGUAGUGGAUUUCCAUUCCCUCAGAAUAACUCGCUGUGCUGCCACCAAACAGAACACGAGACCCUGCUGGAGCCCAAUAUUAUCAAAUGGCUAUCAGGUGUUGGACAUCUGCCAUCAACAUUACUGUACACUGAAAUGUCUUGUGCAAGAAGUCCAUACGUUUAGGGCAGGAGCAGAGCAGAUGGCCCAGAGUCCCAUCAUCUGGUUUACAUUUGUCACAAAUGAAAAUAUAUCCCUGUGAUGAAACAGGGAUAUAUUUUAGAAAAGUGUAGCCGAUGGAUAAUUUUGAAAGAGCAUAGUUUUGUUAUUUUCCUUCCUCUAAGUGUUCCAAAAACAUACCAAGCUGUCACUUUAGGACCCGUAUAUAUCCAUAAGAUCGGUGGGGUCCUCUUCUGCUCCAGUGCCUAUACUGGUUCAGUGCUGGCCAGGAUGUGAGGAUGGGCUGCAGGUCUUUGAUGAUGGUGUUGGGGGUGUUUGGUAAGGGCCGUCCCCCUUUGGUAGAAUGCUGUUUGUGUGGCUCCCUGGGAUGUGUCAGGUGGGCUAUUGGCGUCCAUCCCUAUGGUUCUCUCAGGGGCUCUCUCAUCAGGUGCCUUCCCUGCUUUGGUCCUUCUGGUGUGUGCCUGUGUGUUGGGAGCUCUGGGCACUGGGCCACUGGGGGCUCUGCCUCUUUGGCCUUGGGGCUGCUGCUCCUUUGCUUCACUGAUGACCUGCCUCUGUGUGUGGUGUGUGUCCACCCUGGGGUGGUGCUUUGUGUCUCUCUGCCUGGGGCUGUUGCGUCCCUCCAGAGUCAUCUCCAUCUGUCCUUUGCUUCCCGUGGGCGCUAGGGGUUGCAGGCCUUCCAGCCGUCUCACCACUCUGCAAACUGUACACCUCCAGGUGACAAAUUCAUUCACAUACACCUGUACUCAACACAAACCCAAUUAUUUCUGCUUACACACUCUCUCUCUCACACAGAUACACACAUGUUAUGUUUCUCUAUAUUUACAAAGGCUUUCCAUACUUCUCACCUCUACCAGUUGAUGCCUAACUUAGGGUUUGGGGCUAGGUUAGGUACAAUUGUUUAUUUUGCACAAACCCUUCACGGUGUGAAACUCCUCCCACUGCAGUAACGCCAAGGUUUACAACAGCACAGUGAACACAGCAGUCAUGGCAGAGGAUCGACGAUCAGGGGUCGAUCCUCUGCCAUGGGUCCCUACAAUGUAUUAUGUAUU